rnacentral:tRNA from 1 species
GCGAGUGUAGUUUAGUGGUAAAACAUCAGCCUUCCAAGCUGAUGUAUUGAGUUCAAUUCCCAUCACCCGCUCCA